rnacentral:lncRNA from 1 species
AUUAAACUCGCAAAUUCCAACUUGACUGCCUUAAAACAUGAAGCUUCAAAAGUCUGAAAAACAGACCUAAUUCGCCAUUGCAAGGCUGCAUGUCAUUUCACCAUGGUUACCACUUUCAGACGAGUUCAAAUUCCAGUAUGUGACAUAACACGGCUUCCAAUUUGUCCGAUGUGUGAUUGCUUAUGUGACAUUAUUUUGAUUGUUUGACA